GACGAACCGUGCGAACGUUGUUCGGAAUCCCUGGGCUUAAAGGGCGCGUAGGCGGCGGGGUAAGUCUGGUGUGAAAUCUCGGAGCUCAACUCCGAAAUUGCACUGGAUACUGCUCUGCUAGAGGGCUGGAGAGGAGAUCGGAAUUCACGGUGUAGCAGUGAAAUGCGUAGAUAUCGUGAGGAAGACCAGUGGCGAAGGCGGAUCUCUGGACAGCUCCUGACGCUGAGGCGCGAAGGCUAGGGGAGCAAACGGG
rnacentral:rRNA from 1 species